CUUGGGUGUGGGGGUCCUUCAGCCCGGAUUGUGAGAGGGUUCAGGCCAGGCCGAGGGACCCCACCGAUGCACG
rnacentral:pre_miRNA from 1 species